AGAGUUUGAUCAUGGCUCAGAUUGAACGCUGGCGGCAGGCUUAACACAUGCAAGUCGAGCGGGGAAAGGUAGCUUGCUACCUUACCUAGCGGCGGACGGGUGAGUAAUGCUUAGGAAUCUGCCUAUUAGUGGGGGACAACAUUUCGAAAGGAAUGCUAAUACCGCAUACGCCCUACGGGGGAAAGCAGGGGACCUUCGGGCCUUGCGCUAAUAGAUGAGCCUAAGUCGGAUUAGCUAGUUGGUGGGGUAAAGGCCUACCAAGGCGACGAUCUGUAGCGGGUCUGAGAGGAUGAUCCGCCACACUGGGACUGAGACACGGCCCAGACUCCUACGGGAGGCAGCAGUGGGGAAUAUUGGACAAUGGGGGGAACCCUGAUCCAGCCAUGCCGCGUGUGUGAAGAAGGCCUUUUGGUUGUAAAGCACUUUAAGCGAGGAGGAGGCUCCCAGUAUUAAUACUACUGGAGAGUGGACGUUACUCGCAGAAUAAGCACCGGCUAACUCUGUGCCAGCAGCCGCGGUAAUACAGAGGGUGCAAGCGUUAAUCGGAUUUACUGGGCGUAAAGCGUGCGUAGGUGGCCAAUUAAGUCAAAUGUGAAAUCCCCGAGCUUAACUUGGGAAUUGCAUUCGAUACUGGUUGGCUAGAGUAUGGGAGAGGAUGGUAGAAUUCC
rnacentral:rRNA from 1 species